rnacentral:rRNA from 1 species
AGUGAACGCUGGCGGUAGGCCUAACACAUGCAAGUCGAACGGCAGCACAGUAAGAGCUUGCUCUUACGGGUGGCGAGUGGCGGACGGGUGAGGAAUACAUCGGAAUCUACUUUUUCGUGGGGGAUAACGUAGGGAAACUUACGCUAAUACCGCAUACGACCUACGGGUGAAAGCAGGGGAUCUUCGGACCUUGCGCGAUUGAAUGAGCCGAUGUCGGAUUAGCUAGUUGGCGGGGUAAAGGCCCACCAAGGCGACGAUCCGUAGCUGGUCUGAGAGGAUGAUCAGCCACACUGGAACUGAGACACGGUCCAGACUCCUACGGGAGGCAGCAGUGGGGAAUAUUGGAAAAUGGGCGAAAGCCUGAUCCAGCCAUACCGCGUGGGUGAAGAAGGCCUUCGGGUUGUAAAGCCCUUUUGUUGGGAAAGAAAAGCAGCAGGUUAAUACCCCGCUGUCCUGACGGUACCAAAAGAAUAAGCACCGGCUAACUGCGU